AAGCUGUCCCUUUAACUGUCACCUACCCCAUGCUUUCUAGGAAGUUAAUCUCUUGUUCUUUAUUUUUCUUCUAUCUGUUUCAUCUGGUAUGAGGCCAAUUCAUGCAAUUCCUCCUCAGUUGAAUCCAAAUUUUGUUUUCAGAAUGUGAUGGUCUCAAAAGUUUGAAAGUUAUUGACCAUCUUGGGCAAUAAUCAGUUAUGGGGACAUAUAUGAACUUUAAUCUGCCGCUUUAUAUUUGAAGUGGGCCUUAACCAUGGUUUUGGUUCCUUCUGCUACAUAAACGUGAGGUUGGAGCCAAAGUCCCAGCCUUGCAGUAAUGCGAUUAUGGAGGAGCAUUUCUUGGCAGAUUUGCGUGUUUGCAUUUUUUGUUGUUGUUGUUGCUGGGGAUCAAACCCAGAACCUCACAAAUCUUAAGCAAGUACUUUACCACUGAGCUCUACCCCUGGCCCCAUAAACUUGCCUGAGUUUUUGUUCCUUUUAAUUUAUAAAGAAGCCUUUAUAGCAUAGUUAUAAUGGAGCUGAGCUGCUAGAGAGCAGCUGCGCCCCAGAGGUGUGGUGGAGGGCUUGCCUGGACGCAGCCACAGCCCGCAGGGCCAGGCUCUCAUCCUUGGCCACAAACGCACAAGGAAAAGCUUGGUGACCCUAAGCUCUUUUUAGAGCUUCACUGCAGUUGUGAAGCGUCGCAGUUUACACGCACAGGAGCACCGUUCGCUUCAGGAUGGACUGGAACAUCAUGGCACUGUCCUGGGGUUAAUCAGAGAAGGCCCGGAUUUUCUGGGACUAGUGGUGAGGCCCCUCAACACAGUUGGCAAUCACAAAUCUGAGCAGUACGGAAAGGGGUUUGGACUGGACCAGAACUGCCUGUGGUUGGGUUUCAAAAUGCAGAGGCGCCAGAGGCUGGUAUCAGCCUGCUGUGUGGUCCCCUUGCUCAGACCAUAGCUGGGGGGCUUGCUUGGAGCUUUCAUUACAAGUGUGGAUCACUCAUUCUUUGCGGGUUUAUGAAGCACCCUAAACCCUGAGGUGAAAUAUGGCAAUCAGCUGUUUCUCUCUGGAGGCCCCGGCUGGAUGGGUUUUGCCUGGUUAUCAGAGUGGCAAAACUAGAUGAGGCCACGUGUAUGCUACACAUUGUUGGGGUGUGAAACCACAUUGCGCUUAAUUUGAUAAUUUUGAUAGAUUCAAUAUCAGAGUAAUUGCUGGCCUCUAUUGGGAGUUCUGAGAAUAUUCUUUCAUUUUCCUAAUAAGUGGUAUUCUGUUGUCCCAAAGCCUGUCUUCUCCUUGGCUGACCUGUGGGGAGAUGGACGGUACAGUCAUAUUCCUGAGGACUGUUCUGUACGUUAGGGUUUACAAAGCGCUUCCGUUUAUACAGUUUCAUUCCAG
rnacentral:lncRNA from 1 species